AUACGUAGGAUGCGAGCGUUAUCCGGAUUUAUUGGGUUUAAAGGGUGCGCAGGCGGCCAUUUAAGUCAGCGGUUAAAUCGUGGGGCUCAACCCCAUUCUGCCGUUGAUACUGGGUGGCUUGAUUGCGGUCGAGGUUGGCGGAAUUCGUUGUGUAGCGGUGAAAUGCAUAGAUAUGACGAAGAACACCGAUUGCGUAGGCAGCUGACCAGAUCGCAAAUGACGCUCAUGCACGAAAGUGCGGGGAUCGAACAGGAUUAGAUACCCUGGUAGUCCGCACAGUAAACGAUGAAUACUUGUUUUCGGCGAUAUAAUGUCGGAGGCAAAGCGAAAGCGAUAAGUAUUCCACCUGGGGAGUACGCCGGCAACGGUGAAACUCAAAUGAAUUGACGGGG
rnacentral:rRNA from 1 species